rnacentral:rRNA from 1 species
GACGAACGCUGGCGGCGUGCUUAACACAUGCAAGUCGAACGGAAAGGCCCUGCUUUUGUGGGGUGCUCGAGUGGCGAACGGGUGAGUAACACGUGAGUAACCUGCCCUUGACUUUGGGAUAACUUCGGGAAACUGGGGCUAAUACCGGAUAGGAGCUCCUGCUGCAUGGUGGGGGUUGGAAAGUUUCGGCGGUUGGGGAUGGACUCGCGGCUUAUCAGCUUGUUGGUGGGGUAGUGGCUUACCAAGGCUUUGACGGGUAGCCGGCCUGAGAGGGUGACCGGCCACAUUGGGACUGAGAUACGGCCCAGACUCCUACGGGAGGCAGCAGUGGGGAAUAUUGCACAAUGGGCGGAAGCCUGAUGCAGCAACGCCGCGUGCGGGAUGACGACCUUCGGGUUGUAAACCGCUUUCGCCUGUGACGAAGCGUGAGUGACGGUAAUGGGUAAAGAAGCACCGGCUAACUACGUG